rnacentral:rRNA from 1 species
AGCGAACGCUGGCGGCAGGCUUAACACAUGCAAGUCGAGCGGGCAUCCUUGUGGUGUCAGCGGCAGACGGGUGAGUAACGCGUGGGAACGUGCCCUUCGGUUCGGAAUAACUCAGGGAAACUUGAGCUAAUACCGGAUACGUGCGAGAGCAGAAAGGUUUAUCUGCCGAAGGAUCGGCCCGCGUCUGAUUAGCUAGUUGGUGAGGUUAUGGCUCACCAAGGCGACGAUCAGUAGCUGGUCUGAGAGGAUGAUCAGCCACACUGGAACUGAGACACGGCCCAGACUCGUGCGGGAAGCAACAGUAGGGAAGAUACCGCGAUGGGCGUAAGCCUGACGGGGAAGCGAAGCGUGAGUGAUGAAGGUAUUCGGAUCGUAAAACUCCGUGAGUAGGGAAGAACAAAUGUGUAAAAAACGAUGCACGUCUUGACGGGACCUAAUCGGAAGGCCAGGGGUAAAUAGAUG